rnacentral:rRNA from 1 species
GCUAUACAUGCAGUCGAGCGAGCCGAACUAAUUGACUACCUUCGGGUAUGAAGUUAGGGAAGCGAGCGGCGGAUGGGUGAGUAACACGUGGGUAACCUACCCUAUAGUCUGGGAUACCACUUGGAAACAGGUGCUAAUACCGGAUAAAAGGAGAGAUCACAUGAUUUCUUUUUGAAAGGCGGCGUAAGCUGUCGCUAAAGGAUGGACCCGCGGUGCAUUAGCUAGUUGGUAAGGUAACGGCUUACCAAGGCAACGAUGCAUAGCCGAGUUGAGAGACUGAUCGGCCACAUUGGGACUGAGACACGGCCCAAACUCCUACGGGAGGCAGCAGUAGGGAAUCUUCCACAAUGGACGCAAGUCUGAUGGAGCAACGCCGCGUGAGUGAAGAAGGUUUUCGGAUCGUAAAGCUCUGUUGUUGGUGAAGAAAGAUAGUGAGAGUAACUGCUCAUUAUUUGCCGGUAAUCAACCAGAAAGUCACGGCUAACUACGUGCCAGCAGCCGCGGUAAUACGUAGGUGGCAAGCGUUGUCCGGACUUAUUGGGCGUAAAGCGAGCGCAGGCGGAAAGAUAAGUCAGAUGUGAAAGCCCUCGGCUUAACCGAGGAAUAGCAUCGGAAACUGUCUUUCUUGAGUGCAGAAGAGGAGAGUGGAACUCCAUGUGUAGCGGUGGAAUGCGUAGAUAUAUGGAAGAACACCAGUGGCGGAGGCGGCUCUCUGGUCUGUAACUGACGCUGAGGCUCGA